rnacentral:rRNA from 1 species
UACGUAGGGUGCGAGCGUUAAUCGGAAUUACUGGGCGUAAAGCGUGCGCAGGCGGUUGUGUAAGACAGAUGUGAAAUCCCCGGGCUUAAUCUGGGAACUGCAUUUGUGACUGCACGGCUGGAGUGCGGCAGAGGGGGAUGGAAUUCCGCGUGUAGCAGUGAAAUGCGUAGAUAUGCGGAGGAACACCGAUGGCGAAGGCAAUCCCCUGGGCCUGCACUGACGCUCAUGCACGAAAGCGUGGGGAGCAAACAGG